AUGGAAGAGGCAGACAAGGACCGCAAUUCCUGCAAGCGCCUACGAGCGGUAGGCGGCGGUGACUCGGCGGAUGCGUGGCGGACUUUCCGGGUGGCCCGCGCGGCGGCAGGCGGCAAGGACCGGCACAGCAAGGUGGUGACCUCGCGCGGCCUCCGCGACCGCCGCAUCCGGCUCUCGGUGCAGACGGCCAUUCAGUUCUAUGACAUCCAGGACCGCCUGGGCGUCGACCAGCCCAGCAAGGCCAUCGAGUGGCUCAUCCAAGCCGCCGCCACUGCCAUCGAUGGUCUCCCGUCGCUGGACUGCUCCUUCGCCCUCCCUGUCGCCUCCCCAGCAGCAGAAGACGCCGUGGAGGUCAGCACCUCGGAGACCAGCAAGGGCUCCGUGCUCUCGCUCGCCAACGGCCCUGCCGACAAUGACAAUGCCGCUCACCAAGCCAAUGCAUACAACGGGGGCAGUGCCAAUGGCACGUUUGCCGAGCUCCUGCACUGCUCCAACGCAGCCGACAAGCCAAUGCAGCAUCAGCAGCAGCAGCCGACGCUUGCCUACUACGCCGCCCCCGGUUCACACAUCGCACCCAUGUCCUUCGAGAUGAUUCCCCAGCUCACCUUCUCCCAGGACCAGCAACACCGCCACCACCACCACCACCACCACCACCAUGCAUCUGUCGUCUUCGACAGGAGCACACUUCAGUCCAACACCGUCUCGACGCCGCAGUGGCCGCCGUCCCAGCACCCAUUCCUGAUGCAGAGGUUCUCUGCUGCUCCAGCCGAGCCUUCGCCUAUGUUUCCCUUCUUUCUUGGAGGCAACAGCGCUGCUGCUGCUGCUCCUGCGGCGGCCAAUGCGCCGGAGCGGAGGCUGCAGCUCUGGGACUUCAAGGAGGAAAGGAAGACAUAA
rnacentral:rRNA from 1 species